AAAUUUUAUUUCGUUCUGGUUUGUUUUGUGACUGAAUGGCAACUACCACUUUGCACUGACUGAAAACCUGUAUCUUCUUUUCUAGAUCAAGUUGCGUGUGUUUUAGCAUGCCAUCCUUCUUCAAUAAAACAAACUGUAAUCACUUUGAAGUGGAAGAUGUUCCAAGCAACAGAAAGAACCAGCUGUCUGUGAUGAUGGAGAAUCACUGGUGUAGUGCGGUCUGGUCUAAAUAGUCUUUCUUGGACUCAGUGGGCAUCAUGCUGUUGGCAGUUCUGCAAGUGAACAUCAAAAGGCUCAGCCUCCAGCUGAUACCAUGGUGGCUUGGAAACAGCACCCUGGAACCUCUUAUCAUCUUCAUGCCAGAUGUUUCACAGAAACUAAGCAGCUCAUGGAACUUCAGUAAGAAAGAGCAGGAACUUCUGGUAUGUUCUGUUAAAGCGUAAUAGCUAAUCUCUCAAUACACAAUGUACUUACUGUCCAAUUUAUAAUGUAGUCCAUUGCCUCCCUACCUUUAGUUUAUUCCCUUGUAGGGUAGUAACUGUGCUAGACCAAUUAGCAAGUGGAAUGGUCUGCAGCUAAGUAACAGACACUGAAAUCUACUUUUCUGAGGAAGGUUUUUCAUCUGAAACUAGACAGUAACCUAUUUAAAAAAUCAAAGUUAAAUCCCUAGCUUUUCAUUGGGACCACCAAAUGUGCCAAAUUCAUUACUUGCUGAAUGACCAUUAAAUCUGCUAAUUGAUUGCUCCCUGGGUUUGUUUCUGUGUUCUUAAAACUAAAGCUUAGCCUGCAUGCCUCAAGAUGGAACAAGGUUAUACAGAGCCAGGGAAAUGGAGUUUAGCACCACCCUGUAUGUUUGUGCCUCUUAUUGUGCCUUCCAAAUUGUCUGUUCCCAGCUUAGAUCCAUUUAUGUAUUAUUUUCCACAUUGUAUUUCCUUUCAAUCCAAGCACUUUUGUAGUCAAUACUGGCCACAGAUGUAACAUAAGGCUCUGCUUGUUUUAACUGGGUGGGGAGCAAGGGGAGGAGAGAACAGAGACAAAAAAACAAACAAACAAAAAAACCAAACCAAAAACCACCAACCAGACUUUAGUGAUCAGAUUAGACUGAAAGAUAUUUAUUUAGAAACAACAGCUUUGGUAUUUUAAAACCAAACGACCUUUAAAUCACUAGAAAGUGGGAUAUCUCCCCCCAUAGCCAAAACAAAUCAAUGCACAAAGUCUCAAUCUGCUUAGACUAGGAAACCUGCACAUCAGCAUUUCCAAGUGUAAAUCCAGAAAACAAUUUCAUUAAAUUGGUUUUGCACUCUACAGUAAUAAAGGCUGAAAAACCUGUUACCAGCACUUAGAUAUCUACAGUUCAAUUGACUGCCUUGUAACUGAAGUGGAGGCAAAAUUAUCAACAUCCUCCCCCUCCCCCCAAGCAAUAAAUUAAAAAAUGUAUACCAGAAAGGAAGUUACACUAAAGUUUUCUAGUUAAGUUAACUCUCUGAAGGGAAUCACCAUACUUUAUGUUCCUGUAAAAUUAAAAAAAAAAAAAUAA